rnacentral:lncRNA from 1 species
AUGCGACUGAGUCUCAAAGCAUUUGCUUUCAGCCGCAGAGAGAAGAAGCUGCCCAAGAAUGGAAAGGAAGAAAUAUAUCACAUCAUCUGUCUGUCCACAGGCUUUCCUCUGGGCUUAUGGAGAUUUCCUAGGGGUAAUUAUUUCCCAUUGACUAAGACCACAGGACAGUGUGAACACCUAACAAAUAGUAUGAGGCUGAUAUGGAGAAUAUGCCAAGUCAACUGGAUGAGUCAGCACAGGCAGCUCAAUGGACUGCAGUUAAGAGCUAGGGCUAGGACUUGGAGGAUGUGUAGGCAAACGGAAAGAGAGCCGGGAGAAGAAAAACCGAAAUGGAUUCAUUCUCUGUCCUGGAUGAAGGAAGAGAGGAGAAGAGAAGGGGACGUGCGAGCUUCCUUCAACUGUCUCUGUCCGGUGAAAAGUGCUCAGACCCCCGGGGCUGCGCCGGGCUCCGAAGUCCACGCGGACUUUCGCGUUGAGCUGCCAAUCAAACCGCUCACAGCCACCACCCUGCUCUGGCACCGACAUGGUCUGUGUCAUCUCCUCCCGUGA